UGGGGAAUAUUGCACAAUGGGCGGAAGCCUGAUGCAGCGACGCCGUGUGAGGGAUGAAGGCCUUCGGGUUGUAAACCUCUUUCAGCAGGGACGAAGCGUGAGUGACGGUACCUGCAGAAGAAGCGCCGGCCAACUACGUGCCAGCAGCCGCGGUAAGACGUAGGGCGCGAGCGUUGUCCGGAUUUAUUGGGCGUAAAGAGCUCGUAGGCGGCUUGUCGCGUCGACUGUGAAAACCCGCGGCUUAACUGUGGGCUUGCAGUCGAUACGGGCGGGCUAGAGUUCGGUAGGGGAGACUGGAAUUCCUGGUGUAGCGGUGAAAUGCGCAGAUAUCAGGAGGAGCACCGGUGGCGAAGGCGGGUCUCUGGGCCGAUACUGACGCUGAGGAGCGAAAGCGUGGGGAGCGAAC
rnacentral:rRNA from 1 species